rnacentral:lncRNA from 1 species
CUCAAGAGGAUGAUCAGGCAAAGCAUUUAGUAACUGGACAAGCCUCCCCCAAGCUUGUGGGAGACUCUCUUCUUCAACUUGCACAAAGUUAAAUAUAUCCUGCAAGGCAGCUUGUUUCUUAUGGGCAAGAAAAUAUUUUUUAGAUAAGUAGUAUAUCAUAUCCUGGGGACUACGCACACAACCAGGAGCAAGAGAAGUAAACCAAGUCUUAGCAUCACCCUUUAGCGAGAAAGGGAACAACUUAAGGAUAUGUAAUGGCGAAUUUUUUCCUCACUCGUGAAUAGGGUGGCUAUAUCAUUGAGCUUAGUAAGGUGUGCUACAACCGUUUCAGACUCAUAACCGUGAGAAGGAUCAGAUUCUACCAAAGUGAUCAACUCAGGAUCAAUAGAGAAUUCAUAAUCCUUAUCAGUGACAAAGAUGGUGAAGUAGCAAACUUAGGAUUGUAUUGCAUUCUAGCAUUCAGAGAUUUUUCUUUCCACUUGCGCAAUAAAUUCUCAAGAUCAUAGCUAUCCUUAGAAGCAAGAAAGUCUUCAGCUACCUCUCCCUC